GCAAUGGGAGAUGUUUUAAAAGCCCCACAACAUAUUCUUAAUGCUUGAUUCUGCAUUGUUUCAGAAUAGAUUCAGACGCGAAUCCAAAAAUAAUACUUCGAUAACCUAAACUUGGUCUGAUUAAUGUACAGUAAAUUCUUUUCAAGGAUAAUCUACUAGCUCCCCAUUCUACCCCGGAUAAACAUCUUAAAAUGUUUACCCCUUUCUUACAUUUAUUAAUCAACUUUUUAGCAUGAGUUGCAAACAUCAAUCUAGAUUCCAUCCACACACCAAGAUAUUUAACUACCGGGACAUAACACGUCAUUCUUCUUCUUCUUCUUCUUCUUCUUCUUCUUCUUCUUCUUCUUCUUCUUCUGGUGUUUAUUCAUAGAUAUCUAUACAUAUUCAUAGAUAUCUAGAUGUCGCCUUGGGGUCCUAAAAAUGCGUCAAAACCGCCGCCAUCUUUAUAUGGUGCUCUUGUACUUUAAAUCAUGGAUGAUGCCGGACUUCUAUGCUGCGUUUGGUUGUUCAAACGAAAGAAAUCUAAAAAUCAGACAGCAAGGGAUUACAUUACACAACGCUUCCAAAUCAUCUGCAGCUGAGGCCAAUUAGCGGCAGCGUGGCUUACCUGCUAUGCGGCGUGCUGGGGAGAUAAAACAGGAGAGAGACACAGCGCAAGAGAGAGGCUUUUCUUAUCCGCUAUCCCAGCACCGUGGCUCUUGUGGCUGCUAUUAAGCAAUUGGACAUAUGUAAACAAAGUGUUGAUGUGUGAGUCUGCCUUUGUCAACCUGUGUAGGGAGUUGGGCGCCGAUUUAUUUGGGUUUAUAUUCCCUUUCUAUAUUUUUUUCACCUGUUUUUCGUUAGUCAGGGAGAGAGGUAAGACUAUUGUCUUUAAUUUUAUUUUUAUUUUGGGCAGGGAAGUUAUUUGGUUAACAUUUAAGUAAGUUUCUUUUGUUUGUUGUUUUCGGCAUUUGCUCUCUCCUGACGCUUUGGGUUGUUUAGGCGUAUUUAUAGUUUGUAUUCAUUGUUUUUGUUAUGCCCUGGACAAUAAACAAAAAUUAUAAUAAUA